AGUGAACGCUGGCGGUAGGCCUAACACAUGCCAGUCGAACGGCAGCACAGUAAGAGCUUGCUCUUACGGGUGGCGAGUGGCGGACAAGUGAGGAAUACAUCGGAAUCUACUUUUUCGUGGGGGAUAACGUAGGGAAACUUACGCUAAUACCGCAUACGACCUACGGGUGAAAGCAGGGGAUCUUCGGACCUUGCGCGAUUGAAUGAGCCGAUGUCGGAUUAGCUAGUUGGCGGGGUAAAGGCCCACCAAGGCGACGAUCCGUAGCUGGUCUGAGAGGAUGAUCAGCCACACUGGAACUGAGACACGGUCCAGACUCCUACGGGAGGCAGCAGUGGGGAAUAUUGGACAAUGGGCGAAAGCCUGAUCCAGCCAUACCGCGUGGGUGAAGAAGGCCUUCGGGUUGUAAAGCCCUUUUGUUGGGAAAGAAAAGCAGCAGGUUAAUACCCCGCUGUUCUGACGGUACCCAAAGAAUAAGCACCGGCUAACUUCGUG
rnacentral:rRNA from 1 species